ensembl:lncRNA
GGGGGAGUGUCCACGUAGGGAAGGAGGCUGGAGAUGGAGGGGGCAGCCAGGCGACAUCACAAUAGGAACCAAUUCUAUCCAGGCAGGCCUGGGAGCAGGAUGGGAGCCCUGUAACAGAUAGGUGUCAGUGCCUGUGGGACCUGAGCAUCCGAAGGUUCAAGAGAAAGAAGAGGUUAGCUUUGAAACACUGCCUGGAAAUGACAGCACCACUCGUUCCCCAGCUGCCAGAGAGAGGAUCCCCAUUGUGACCUGAGCAUCAUGGCGGAGUGAGGGGUUCCUUUGUCUCUCUCCAAUAAGUUACAGCCAAAGCACACCAUUAACCAACAGAAGAUUCCCUACACAGCACAACAGGAUACCUGAGAGGUCCAGGCAGCUGCACAUCUGAAGAGUGACUGUAGCUGGAAAGGAAAUUUGCGAGUGAAGAUAUGAACCUCGGAAUGAAUCCCAAGCUUGAGAAGAGAGAAUACGCCUGUUCCUCACACUGGCAUCAGACGCAGGUCAAAAAUGAGCCUGAGUAGCUCCUGUUUGGUGAGAUAAAAUCCUGUCUUGGAAGGCAGGGAGAAGGGGACAAGCAGACCAUGGUGACAACAGGAACAGGCGCUGGCAGCUUCGGCCACUGCAGCCAGACACCCGUUUUCACCCCCGGGUCUCCUCCAGCAGUUGUCUCCUCAGUGCCUGUCCUCUGCGCGUAUUUCAGGCAGCAAAGAUGUUGCCCAGUUCGUCUUGGCAGCAGCGCUACAAGUUUGUCAGUCCAGCACCAUGAUCCUGUUUCACAAAUGGAGAAACUGAGAGUCAAUGCAAUUACAGGUUUCCCCCGUUACCUGAAAGUUUGCUUUACACUGCUUUGUUUUACGAAAAACCCACGUUGGUAUCUGCUUUCACAAAGAAAUUGAAGAGGGGUUUUGCUUUUACAAAAAAAGGUGAAAAGUGGAAACAGCCUUCAGCCUUUGUUUUGCAGCGAGUUGCUAUAGAGGCUAAGCAGUCAAGCGUGCUGUCAUAUUUCAAGCACGUCAGCCACUUCAGCCACAGCGCACGAUGAACCUCGACCUUUGACAUCCAGGCAGAUGCAACAAAAGGUGUAGACGUCAGUGACCUGCCUGCCCGAUGGAUUCAGAUGACGAUGAGACGUUAACAGAGGAUCCUAGUCCUCUCUCUCCUACAACCCCGUCUCCCGGUGCCUCCCACCCCCCAACCUCUGAUGACUCAGCCUAACCCACUGUCAUCACCGCCACCACCGUCCCGUGAGCUCUGCCUCCACGAUUCUGGUCUCCUGGGGAUGCUCUGGUCUCGGACAGCAGGGGAAGCCUGUAGGCGGCUUGGCUGCAGUCAUGCGGUGAGUUAUUGGAAGAGGCACAUCUGACCCAAGGCUCAGUUCAACCCACUGCACUCUCCACUCAGGCUCUGACUGCUCAAGCUCUGUCUACACAGUCGCAGGACACUAGUCACACAGUGAAUAACCCCAUCACCUCAGCACUUAUACCACCCGUGUCCAGCACUGUCACCCUCCGAACUCCCAUUUGGUCCCCUCCGUAAAAUGAUCUGUUCGCUGCUGAACUCCGACGGCAGAAUUUAACACCCCUUAGUCCACCAUGCGCCGGAUCCCGAGCAGACGCCACCCUGCUUCCAGCCCAGGUCCCAGUUCCGCGGCCACUCACUGCCGCUGGCGCUUCCUACCUCCCGCUUUCCUACAGAAUAAAUGCUUCUCUAAAGGCAGCAAUUCACCCCAUUUCUCAAACUUUCAAAUCAGCUGGAAGGGACCUCAGUGAGGAUCUAGGCCAGAGGUCACAAACAGGCAACAGUGCAGCAAAUCAGACUCACUGGCUGUUCUGUGUGGCCUGCGGAGUGUUUCACAGAAA